GGGGAAAUCAAGAGCUGGAAGCAGGCUUGGACCUCUGAUCACUCCUUCUCUACCGAAACAGAGAAGAGAAAUGGAAGCGGGCUUGGACCUCUGAUUUUGCUCUGUGAAGCUCCUGAUCAACAUUUUGACCAAGAUUCUUCCUCUUUAUUGAAUCCCACAUGAAAGAAAACAAAAAUGCAUGGUUUGCAAACAGAAACGGCAAUGAACCCACCUGCAAAAAAUGUGUAAUGACAUGGGAUGUCUAAAAAAUACAUGAAUCAGCAGACUGGCAUAGGCUAAAAGCUCGUCCAUAUAGCAACGGUCCCAGGGCAUCCUGUCUCCAAACGAGGGUAGUUUCUAAUAGGCUCCUCGUAUAAUUUAUUUUUGAGGAUAGACACAACAAUGUGGCAUGGUUGCUUGCUAAUUUCCAUCAACUUGUGCAGACUGCUAUUGCUACGUGAUCCCGAGUCAAUCGUUCCUAUAGAAAGCAAUGUCACCCCAGUGUAAGACAAGAUCUGUUGCAGGAUUUUAUAGAAAAGCAAAGCACCGCCAAGAAGAAUUGUUGUCUCCACUGUAUGAUCAAAGGACUAUCUCUGACUAUAAGAUUCUUUUGAUUCAUUUCAUUUUUAUAUGGGGAAUUGGGAGUUCAAUGGAGGGUAUCAUUUUGUGGCUCCCCUAAAUUGUCAAAAUGUUAUGCAGCUCCAAUCUCAACGGCCUGUUCACAGUACGAAUUUUCAUUCUUAGUGUACUUGUUUCAGCAAUGAAUGUAAUGGGAUCCAGGAUGCAUACAAAAGCCUGCAAAUGCAGACUUUUACUAAUUACAUCCAUACCUCAAGGAUAACUGUAAGAUAACUCUCACAAGAGGAGCUUCGUUCUAUUUAAUGACAAAUUUCACACAGAUUAUUGUUUACAA